rnacentral:rRNA from 1 species
CCUGUGAGGGUUGCUGGAGGUAUCAGAAGUGCGAAUGCUGACAUAAGUAACGAUAAAGCGGGUGAAAAGCCCGCUCGCCGGAAGACCAAGGGUUCCUGUCCAACGUUAAUCGGGGCAGGGUGAGUCGACCCCUAAGGCGAGGCCGAAAGGCGUAGUCGAUGGGAAACAGGUUAAUAUUCCUGUACUUGGUGUUACUGCGAAGGGGGGACGGAGAAGGCUAUGUUAGCCGGGCGACGGUUGUCCCGGUUUAAGCAUGUAGGCGGAGGUUCCAGGUAAAUCCGGUACCUUUUAACGCUGAGGUGUGAUGACGAGGCACUACGGUGCUGAAGUAACAAAUGCCCUGCUUCCAGGAAAAGCCUCUAAGCAUCAGGUAACAUCAAAUCGUACCCCAAACCGACACAGGUGGUCAGGUAGAGAAUACCAAGGCGCUUGAGAGAACUCGGGUGAAGGAACUAGGCAAAAUGGUGCCGUAACUUCGGGAGAAGGCACGCUGGUGUGUAGGUGAAGUCCCUGCGGAUGGAGCUGAGACCAGUCGAAGAUACCAGCUGGCUGCAACUGUUUAUUAAAAACACAGCACUGUGCAAACACGAAAGUGGACGUAUACGGUGUGACGCCUGCCCGGUGCCGGAAGGUUAAUUGAUGGGGUUAUCCGUAAGGAGAAGCUCUUGAUCGAAGCCCCGGUAAACGGCGGCCGUAACUAUAACGGUCCUAAGGUAGCGAAAUUCCUUGUCGGGUAAGUUCCGACCUGCACGAAUGGCGUAAUGAUGGCCAGGCUGUCUCCACCCGAGACUCAGUGAAAUUGAACUCGCUGUGAAGAUGCAGUGUACCCGCGGCAAGACGGAAAGACCCCGUGAACCUUUACUAUAGCUUGACACUGAACAUUGAGCCUUGAUGUGUAGGAUAGGUGGGAGGCUUUGAAGCGUGGACGCCAGUCUGCGUGGAGCCAACCUUGAAAUACCACCCUUUAAUGUUUGAUGUUCUAACGUAGGCCCCUAAUCGGGGUUGCGGACAGUGUCUGGUGGGUAGUUUGACUGGGGCGGUCUCCUCCCAAAGAGUAACGGAGGAGCACGAAGGUUAGCUAAUCCUGGUCGGACAUCAGGAGGUUAGUGCAAUGGCAUAAGCUAGCUUGACUGCGAGCGUGACGGCGCGAGCAGGUGCGAAAGCAGGUCAUAGUGAUCCGGUGGUUCUGAAUGGAAGGGCCAUCGCUCAACGGAUAAAAGGUACUCCGGGGAUAACAGGCUGAUACCGCCCAAGAGUUCAUAUCGACGGCGGUGUUUGGCACCUCGAUGUCGGCUCAUCACAUCCUGGGGCUGAAGUAGGUCCCAAGGGUAUGGCUGUUCGCCAUUUAAAGUGGUACGCGAGCUGGGUUUAGAACGUCGUGAGACAGUUCGGUCCCUAUCUGCCGUGGGCGCUGGAGAAUUGAGGGGGGCUGCUCCUAGUACGAGAGGACCGGAGUGGACGCAUCACUGGUGUUCGGGUUGUCAUGCCAAUGGCACUGCCCGGUAGCUAAAUGCGGAAGAGAUAAGUGCUGAAAGCAUCUAAGCACGAAACUUGCCCCGAGAUGAGUUCUCCCUGAGACUAUAAGUCUCCUGAAGGAACGUUGAAGACGACGACGUUGAUAGGCCGGGUGUGUAAGCGCAGCGAUGCGUUGAGCUAACCGGUACUAAUGAACCGUGAGGCUUAACCUU